AAAGGAACACGUGGGGGAGCGAGGCUCGGGGUGGGGUUAAGGCGUCUUCAGGACGACCCCGAGGAGCGGGCGCAGCCCGACGUACGGGUUUGCGCUCAGCAGCCCGGGAGCGGGCGGAGCGGAGCCGAGGGGGCCCGGCGGCUCAGCCCGAAGCGGCGCGGCCCCGCGGGGGCAGCGACAGCGGCAGAGCGCCCCUGGUGGGGACCGACGGCACCGCGGCCCGAACCGCGAGCUCCCCCGGGCCGGGGGCGCUGCCGGGGCCGCGGGUCCCGGAGCGGUGCGCGGAACGGGAGCAGCGCUCGGGCGGGCGCGGAGCGCGGCCGCCGCAUUUCGGCGGAAGGUGCGGGGGAACGGCGAUGCGCCGCCGAGAGCGCGAGGCGGGAAGGGGCGGGAAGGCGCCGAGCUCCACAGCCCGCGGCCCGCAUCGCCGCCUCCCGCGGGGCGCGCGGAGCGCAGUCAGCGCCGGAGCGGAGCGGAUCGGGCGCGCAGCUCCGCAACCCCCCGACCCCGCCAAGCUUGUACAGUGAGAGGAUCUUUCAGGAGGAGAAGCAGAGAAGAAAACAGUAAUGGAGAAAGGUGGAAGUUUUCAUGGACUCAAUCCCCCGAGUCUUGAAAGAUGCAGAAAUAACAUUGGGUGGCAGAGUGAUGGUGAUGUUGAGUAGCAUUCACUUUGAGAGAACAAAAUGAAAGAGAAACAGAAGUAAAGGCGGAGUCAAUGAAGCUGCCCGUCUAUUUCAGGCACAUCCUACAGACACAAGGGAUAGAAGUCUGCCAACUGGACACAACCAGAAAGGUCAUCAAUGUAGAAGAUCGUUCCUUUUCUCUAUUGAAAAUCUACUUAAGUCCUCAGAGACUCAAGGCAAUGUUCCUGAUAAUUAGUUCUACUGCAUAUGUGCGUUCACCACAUGCGGGUUGUGACAAAGCAGACUCCUUCAAUCAAGACAGAGGGACAAGGUGUAACUUAAAGAGAGGCUGCAGUUCUGUGGUCAGCAGCUGCAGCUGCUGAGGCAGUGAAGAGGAACGUUCAUACAAGGAUGGGGUGCUCCUAUUGAAAAGACAGAAUCAUUUGUAGAAGCUUUGUGGGUGCAGCCACGGGAAAUGCUCAGGGUGUAAACUCAGCAGACAUCUGGUGAUGACAAGCUACCAGGCAGGAACUAAUGACUGGUUUCACAGAAGGGGCUGUUUUGGUUAGAAGCAGUAUCAUUGUUACUCUGCCAAAACCAUGAAUACAGCUCCCAUUUUUGACUAAAAGAGAAAUGACUAAUAGUGAAUUAGAAAAAAAUGGCCAAAUGGUCUUAAAGAAGUCGAUGCUGAGUUGACCAGUGGCUUCAAGAAAACACCUACCAACAGCAAAUCUGCAUCAGUAAUGAAGAAGGAACCAGGGAGGGGGGCUGCUGCUGCUGCAGCGCAAGGUGUGACUGGGAAUCAGUCAGCAGUUGGUGAGCAACUGCAUUGUGCAUCACUUGUUUUGUACCUUCUUCUAUUAUUAUUAUUAUUAUUCCCUUCCUUUUCUACCCUAUUAAACUGUCUUUACCUCAGCCCACGAGGGUUAGCUUUUUUCCAGUUCUCUCUCCCAUCCUACUGAGGGGGAGGGAACGAAGGGCUGCGUGGUGCUUGCUGCCUGAAGUGCUGCCUGACAGGUUAAACACAAAAAUGAAGGAUGGUGAAACUUCAAGAUAUUGAUUCACUAAUUUUAAUUACAUCGUUACUCCUUCAGAACUACAAUGUUCCUACUUCUUGCAUACACAACAAAUACUAAGGUAUAAGGCAAAGGACAGCUUGUUUGGAAACAAGUGGUUUGUAACAUCAUAGCUUUAGGACAUGUAGUUUAAGAUAAAAGUAGUUUCAAAGUGGAAGCAACAGAAUUCACUGAAAAAUAAACUACAGUUUCUGCAUAGCACAGAGCCAGACAGGCUCUCAUGUACCACUUUGCAGGUAGAACAGCUUUUAUAAGGACUUGACUUACUGAAGCUGCAAGACUGGGAAGAUAUUUAGGGCUCCUUCUGCUAAGGAUUAGAGGGAGAAAAAAGUUUUGUUUCUGCGUAAGUAUAAAGCAGCUCAGUCUGAAUGAAGAAAGCACACUGUCCAAUAGAACAAAUAAGC
rnacentral:lncRNA from 1 species